rnacentral:rRNA from 1 species
GACGAACGCUGGCGGCGUGCUUAACACAUGCAAGUCGAACGGAAAGGCCCUGCUUUUGUGGGGUGCUCGAGUGGCGAACGGGUGAGUAACACGUGAGUAACCUGCCCUUGACUUUGGGAUAACUUCAGGAAACUGGGGCUAAUACCGGAUAGGAGCUCCUGCUGCAUGGUGGUGGAUGGAAAGUUUCGGCGGUUGGGGAUGGACUCGCGGCUUAUCAGCUUGUUGGUGGGGUAGUGGCUUACCAAGGCUUUGACGGGUAGCCGGCCUGAGAGGGUGACCGGCCACAUUGGGACUGAGAUACGGCCCAGACUCCUACGGGAGGCAGCAGUGGGGAAUAUUGCACAAUGGGCGGACGCCUGAUGCAGCAACGCCGCGUGCGGGAUGACGGCCUUCGGGUUGUAAACCGCUUUCGCCUGUGACGAAGCGUGAGUGACGGUAAUGGGUAAAGAAGCACCGGCUAACUACGUG